rnacentral:rRNA from 1 species
UGAGGCUCGAAAGCAUGGGUAGCGAACAGGAUUAGAUACCCUGGUAGUCCAUGCCGUAAACGAUGAUUACUAAGUGUUGGAGGGUUUCCGCCCUUCAGUGCUGCAGCUAACGCAUUAAGUAAUCCGCCUGGGGAGUACGACCGCAAGGUUGAAACUCAAAAGAAUUGACGGGGGCCCGCACAAGCGGUGGAGCAUGUGGUUUAAUUCGAAGCUACGCGAAGAACCUUACCAGGUCUUGACAUCUUCUGCCAACCUAAGAGAUUAGGCGUUCCCUUCGGGGACAGAAUGACAGGUGGUGCAUGGUUGUCGUCAGCUCGUGUCGUGAGAUGUUGGGUUAAGUCCCGCAACGAGCGCAACCCUUAUUACUAGUUGCCAGCAUUCAGUUGGGCACUCUAGUGAGACUGCCGGUGACAAACCGGAGGAAGGUGGGGACGACGUCAAAUCAUCAUGCCCCUUAUGACCUGGGCUACACACGUGCUACAAUGGAUGGUACAACGAGUCGCGAAACCGCGAGGUUUAGCUAAUCUCUUAAAACCAUUCUCAGUUCGGACUGUAGGCUGCAACUCGCCUACACGAAGUCGGAAUCGCUAGUAAUCGCGGAUCAGCAUGCCGCGGUGAAUACGUUCCCGGGCCUUGUACACACCGCCCGUCACACCAUGAGAGUUUGUAACACCCAAAGCCGGUGGGGUA